CGGGGGGCAGCAGUGGGGAAUUUUGGACAAUGGGCGAAAGCCUGAUCCAGCAAUGCCGCGUGAGUGAAGAAGGCCUUCGGGUUGUAAAGCUCUUUUGUCAGGGAAGAAACGGUGAAAGCUAAUAUCUUUUGCUAAUGACGGUACCUGAAGAAUAAGCACCGGCUAACUACGUGCCAGCAGCCGCGGUAAUACGUAGGGUGCAAGCGUUAAUCGGAAUUACUGGGCGUAAAGCGUGCGCAGGCGGUUUUGUAAGUCUGAUGUGAAAUCCCCGGGCUCAACCUGGGAAUUGCAUUGGAGACUGCAAGGCUAGAAUCUGGCAGAGGGGGGUAGAAUUCCACGUGUAGCAGUGAAAUGCGUAGAUAUGUGGAGGAACACCGAUGGCGAAGGCAGCCCCCUGGGUCAAGAUUGACGCUCAUGCACGAAAGCGUGGGGAGCAAACAGGAUUAGAUACCCCGGU
rnacentral:rRNA from 1 species